ACGGGGGGGGCAAGCGUUGUUCGGAAUUACUGGGCGUAAAGGGUUCGUAGGUGGUCAACUAAGUCAUGCGUGAAAUCCCUCAGCUUAACUGGGGAACUGCGUCUGAUACUGGUUGACUUGAGUGCAGGAGAGGAACGCGGAAUUCCAGGUGUAGCGGUGAAAUGCGUAGAUAUCUGGAGGAACACCGGUGGCGAAGGCGGCGUUCUGGACUGUAACUGACACUGAGGAACGAAAGCCAGGGGAGCAAACGGGAUUAGAUACCCCGGUAGUCCUGGCCCUAAACGAUGAAUGCUUGGUGUGGCGGGUAUCGAUCCCUGCCGUGCCGAAGUUAACGCGAUAAGCAUUCCGCCUGGGGAGUACGGUCGCAAGGCUG
rnacentral:rRNA from 1 species